UACGUAGGGGGCUAGCGUUGUCCGGAAUCAUUGGGCGUAAAGCGCGUGUAGGCGGUUCGGUAAGUCCGCUGUGAAAGUCGGGGGCUCAAACCCUCGAAAGCCGGUGGAUACUGUCGGACUAGAGUGCGGAAGAGGCGAGUGGAAUUCCUGGUGUAGCGGUGAAAUGCGCAGAUAUCAGGAGGAACACCAAUUGCGAAGGCAGCUCGCUGGGACGUUACUGACGCUGGAGACGCGAAAGCGUGGGGGAGCAAACAGG
rnacentral:rRNA from 1 species